rnacentral:tRNA from 1 species
GGGAAGGUGGCUCAGUGGUAGAGUGCUUGCCUUGCAUGCAUGAGGUUCAAUUCCUCACCU